UACCAUCAAAGCUUUGAGAAGCAAGAAGAAGCUUGGUUAGUAUUUUGGAGUGAAAUAUGACUAGAUGUCAUGUGUAUGAGUGAGUAUAA
rnacentral:sRNA from 1 species